rnacentral:rRNA from 1 species
GAUCUCAGGGGAGGUUCGCCUCUUUCUGAGAUGUAUGUUAUACCCAUGUCUUUUGCGUACUACUUGUUUCCUUGGUAGGCUUGCCUGCCAAUAGGACAAAAUCAAAACCUUUUGUAAUUGCAGUCAGCGUCAGAAAUAACUUUUAAUAGUUACAACUUUCAACAACGGAUCUCUUGGUUCUGGCAUCGAUGAAGAACGCAGCGAAAUGCGAUAAGUAGUGUGAAUUGCAGAAUUCAGUGAAUCAUCGAAUCUUUGAACGCACAUUGCGCCCCUUGGUAUUCCAUGGGGCAUGCCUGUUCGAGCGUCAUUUGUACCCUCAAGCUUUGCUUGGUGUUGGGCGUUUGUCUCGCGUUGCGCGUAGACUCGCCUUAAAGCGAUUGGGAGCCCGCAUAUUGGCGUUGGAGCGCAACGCAUUUUGCGAAUACCCUCAUUUAUGUUGGCGUCCAUUAAGCCCAUACAUUUUGCUCUUGACCUCGGAUCACGUAUGGAUACCCGCUGAACUUAAGCAUAUCUUAAAUAUAAGAAAAGAAAUCAUGGGAAGGUUCACCCUCUUUCUCAGGAGGAGGGUCACCUCCCUCUGAGAUGGAGGCUAUACCAUGUCUUUGGCGGGCUACUUGUUCCUUGGUAGGCUUGCCUGCCAUAUGACAAAAUCAAAACCUUUUGUAAUUGCAGUCAGCGUCAGAAAUAACUUUUAAUAGUUACAACUUUCACAACGGAUCUCUUGGUUCUGGCAUC